rnacentral:rRNA from 1 species
CUUGGGGGAUGUAUAGUCCUCUUAUGAGGCUAGUUAUGUUGAGUAAACAUAAUNCCAACUACGUUGGAUAAAGUUCUAGAUAGAAUACUGAUUAUGACAAUUUUCUAUCUACAUGUCUUGACCAAAUUACGUGCCAGCAGUCGCGGUAAUACGUAGAAGACUAGUGUUAUUCAUCUUUAAUAGGUUUAAAGGGUACCUAGACGGUAUUACUAACCCACAACAGGGAAAUAGUUUUACUAGAGUUUUAUAUGAGAAGGGGAGUAUUUAUGGAGUAGAGAUGAAAUUCUUUGAUACCUUAAGGACUGGUAACGGCGAAAGCAACCUUUUAUGUAAAAACUGACGUUGAGGGACGAAGGCUUGGGGAGCGAACAGGAUUAGAUACCCUAGUAGUCCAUGCAGAAAAUGAUGAAUGCCAUAGACUAGAUUUUUUUUUUGGUUUAUAAAUGAAAGUGUAAGCAUUCCACCUCAAGAGUAAUGUGGCAACGCAGGAACUGAAAUCAUUAGACCGUUUCUGAGAACAGUAGUGAAGUAUGUUAUUUAAUUCGAUAGCCCUCGAAAAACCUUACCACAACUUGAAUGGUGUCAUAAGUUGAUGUAAUAUUCUUUGCUGCCAUUUUUUUUAUAUUUUUAGGGGUGCGUAGCGAGGAAGAUAUUAUAUUGGGCUGGUUCUGUUAUUAUAAAGGGCUGGCUCAUUGAAGGUAAUUAUAGACUCCUCCCUCCUGCAAAACAGGGGAGUGUAGAAUUACCUUUACCAACGAUGAUGUUACAAGCGUUGCACGGUUGUCUUCAGCUAAUGUCGUGAGAUUUUGGUUAGUUCCAUAAAAUUAGCGUAAACCCCG